GCCCAAGCUUUCCCAGGAGGAACCAUAAAACCUGGGAGACCCAGAAGCUAGAGAGGCCCUGCCUUGCCUUUGCAAGCCGCACCUGUCACCACACCCAUUUCCUGGUGUCUCCUGUCCCUCCACACCAUCACCUGUUCUGCGUUCUCCUGAAGAGGAAGAGGCCGGCCUGGGUCCCCCUCACACACAAGAUGUAAAGAGUGAGCCAGGAAGCAGUGAAACUGUUUAACCUCAAGCCUCAGCUGAUCAAAAACACCAUUUAGGGACAGAUCGCCAUGCCUCUUUCCUUGGAACCCGAACGUGUGGAGCUGAGUGUUGGUAACUACUCUCUGUUACUACUCUUGGCUCCUGAGCUGUCUUAGUUUCUGCGGUUCCUGCUCCAGAUUCUCACUCUCCUUCUCCCCAGAGCCCACCAGCCCACAACACCAUCUAUAAGAACAUAGGAACUGUGUCUUCUUAUCAGCUUAUGUACUG